rnacentral:lncRNA from 1 species
UCAAAAAUCCUUCUGAAACCCAUAGCUUCUUCAGCAUUGAGGCACGAAUUCUAUGAUCUUCCUCAAAAACACCCAUAUACAAAAAACAUGGCUUCAAAUAGUUGGGCAGAUAUGUAUGGGAAGUGUGAAUGAAAUAUAUGAGGUGAUAUUUGAGAGGUGAAAGAAGAGAACCAAUCUUUUGUGCUAAGAUGAAAGAAGGCAAUUUGCUAUCCGGUAAAGUGAAUUGGAUCCACUCAUGAUAAUGAAAUUCAUUUAUCAGAAAAAUGAUGAAGCCAUGUGCAGCAUUGAUUUAAAUAUCUGCAGUUGUCGGAAUAAGCAGGUCCCUCUUAAAAUAUAACCACUGUCAUUAAUUUAAUUAAUUACAUGUUUGUUGCUAAACUUAUUGCUAGGAUCGAUGUUGACGGUCACAAGGAUCGAUGAUUGAAACUAUAACAUUUCAAAUAACACUAUGAGAUUUCAAAUGACACUACAUUCGACAUAUUAAUGAUACAAUAAUAUUUUAAUAUUUGAAAUGACAAUUUAACAUUACAAAUGACUCUUUUGAUUCAAAUGGCACUAUAAUAUUUCAAGUGACAUUACAAGAUUUCAAAUGACACAUUGACAUUUCAAAUUACACUACUCCGACAUACAAAUGACACUAAUUCUAUCACUUUCAAAAUAAGUAAGAGAUGAUUGUACAGUAUAAUAACAUGAGAUGUCUCUUAAGUUUACAACACAGAAGUGGAAAGACCUCUGCUGUGUGGUGGCAGAGCGACAGUGGCAGCGAUUGAGGCGGCCGGCAGUGGGUUGCUGUCGCCGUAUUCAGCUGCACCGUUAUCUUCCCCAGCGAUCGGCCGCCGUUCAGGCCGCAUAUAGCCCCGCGGCGGCCGGAGUAGACCGAGAUUUUGAGCUGCGGCAGAUUGGAGAGAGUGAAGACUGAAGAGGGAGGAUUUGCUGAGUUGGAAGCUGGAUAAGCAAUAAUUUUUUUAUAAUAUAAAUGGUUCUGGGUCAGGGUCACCAAUGUGGGCAGGGUACAACCCGGUUUUUCUAUAAAACCAGUUUCACACCAGAUUUUUGUGUUUAUUUAAAUAGUGAGUUAUUGAUAUAAUUAAUAAUCUAUAUUUUGGGGGCAAGAUAGAUGUAUAUAUAUGCUCGAAAAAUCGGAAGUAAACAAUACAAGGACUGCAUCGCACCUACUCGAUCGGGAACUUCAUGACAGAGCGGAUCAUCAUAAACUAAUUCAAUCAUAUCGAUGCUCGUGACAGUCAACAUCGAUAACCAACAAUAAGUUUAGCAACAAACAUGUAAUUAACUAAAUUAAUGACAGUCUUAUUCCGACAACUGCAGCAUAUUUAAAUGAAUGCUGCACAUGGCUUCUUCAUUUUUAUGAUAAACACAAUUUCAUUAUCACGUGUAAUUUCCAGUUCACUUUACCAGAUUGCUAACAUCUCUCAUAUAUUUUAAUUCACACUUCCACAAAUAUAAAAAUUCUGUGUCUGCAUUCAAAGAGUUUAUCAUGGCCGCUUAUGGAGCUCUGCUUUCUCUUAUGCAUAUCAUAGAUCGUAUUGAAAAUCAUCCUUCCCCUCCUAUUUCUAUCGACAAACAGCAAGUUGAAUCUCUCACUCAAAAUGUUGGCUUCUUGCAGGAUUUUCUUGAUGCUUAUAUUUCCCCAGUUGUAUUAUCAUUAUUUUAAGCUUUUGUAUUAUCAUUAUUUUAAGCACAUUUAAGCUUAAAAGAGAAAAAGAAGCUUAAAAUAAUGAUAAUACAAAAAAGAAACAAAAAAAAUUACAAAAAAGUUGACAUGGCAGUUCACAUCAGCAACGGGCUCUAGGUGGCAUCAAAAGUCCGAAUAAUUAAUUUUAGGCCCAAAACAGGAGUGUAAAUGCAAAAAAAAAAUUAUAGUCCUUAUUUUCAAAAUCCGUAACUUAUAGUCAUUUUUCUAAAAAUCCUGAAAGUUACGGUCCUAUUUUUACCAUUAGGUCUGGAGACGAUAGUGGUUUGAUCUGUUGAUUUGUUAUUAAUUAACAAAUCAUGUCAGUAUGUUUGCUUCAUUAGGGUUGCCUCUUAAACUUGAUCUAGAAAUUAACUUGUUAGGCUUUAAAAGUUAAUAAUUUAUUUUUCUUCACCCUAAUGUUAUUCAUAUAUAGUAACAAUCGAAAAUUAAUACUAUAGCUCCAUACAACAAUAUCAUGUGAUUAUUUCGUCAGUUGUGGGAGGGGGAGCAAUGUGGGUUUCACCUAAGUCCUCUUUCAUUUACAUAAGUCUACCAUCUUGGCAUAUUGUAAUGAGAUUUAAUUUUAUAGACUGUCACUGUUAAGUCAUGAAAUUUAUGCCCAUUUCAAUUGGAAAAAAAAUAAAGCUUUAAUCCUAUAAUUUGGAUUAUUAUUAGAAUUUCUCGGAUUAUUGNUAAAAAUUCUGUGUCUGCAUUCAAGAGUAUAUCAUGCCGCUUAUGGAGCUCUGGUUUCUCUUAUGCAUAUCAUAGAUCGUAUUGAAAAUCAUCCUUCCCCUCCAAUUUCUCUCGACAAACAGCAAGUUGAAUCUCUUACUGAAAUUGUUACCUUCUUGCAAGAUUUUAUUGAUGCUUAUAUUUCCCCAGUUGUAUUAUCAUUAUUUUAAGCUUUUGUAUUAUCAUUAUUUUAAGCACAUUUAAGCUUAAAAGAGAAAAAGAAGCUUAAAAUAAUGAUAAUACAAAAAAGAAACAAAAAAAAUUACAAAAAAGUUGACAUGGCAGUUCACAUCAGCAACGGGCUCUAAGUGGCAUCAAAAGUCCGAAUAAUUAAUUUUAGGCCCAAAACAGGCGUGUAAAUGCAAAAAAAAAAAUUAUAGUCUUAUAGUCCUUAUUUUCAAAAUCCGUAACUUAUAGUCAUUUUUCUAAAAAUCCUGAAAGUUACGGUCCUAUUUUUACCAUUAGGUCUGGAGACGAUAGUGGUUUGAUCUGUUGAUUUGUUAUUAAUUAACAAAUCAUGUCAGUAUGUUUGCUUCAUUAGGGUUGCCUCUUAAACUUGAUCUAGAAAUUAACUUGUUAGGCUUUAAAAGUUAAUAAUUUAUUUUUCUUCACCCUAAUGUUAUUCAUAUAUAGUAACAAUCGAAAAUUAAUACUAUAGCUCCAUACAACAAUAUCAUGUGAUUAUUUCGUCAGUUGUGGGAGGGGGAGCAAUGUGGGUUUCACCUAAGUCCUCUUUCAUUUACAUAAGUCUACCAUCUUGGCAUAUUGUAAUGAGAUUUAAUUUUAUGACUGUCACUGUUAAGUCAUGAAAUUUAUGCCCAUUUCAAUUGGAAAAAAAAUAAAGCUUUAAUCCUAUAAUUUGGAUUAUUAUUAGAAUUUCUCGGAUUAUUAUCCCAGAAUAAUAAUUACCUGAAUAAUAAUCAUGAGUUAUUAAAUAACAGAUUCUCAUUAAUCGAGAAUUUGCUUGAGACAUUUAUCUUACCUUAUAUUCUCGGAUUAAAGGUCAAUCACAAGAGUGAGAGCUAGUCAAGGAGUCACUGAACUGUAGCAAAGCUUUGUUGAGGAAUGUCAAUCGGGCCAGCUCUAUAGGGUUUCGGAUUAAUCGGGUGCGGGCUAAUCGGGCUGAGGAUUUUGUCGGGUUAUAAAUUUUCAACCCUAACCCUAAACGUUCGGGUUUCGGGCUAGCCCAUCGGGCUAAUCGAGUUGAAGGCGUAAAAAUAAAAUAAUCAUUUAUAUUUUGUUAUUCUUAAUGAUCUAAUGUAUAAUUAAUGUAUAAAAUAUACAUAGAAAUCAAAGAUAUAAAUUAUAUAGCAAGCAUGAAAUGCAAAAAUAUAAGAUGUUGAAGAAAAAAAAUCAAGAUUACAUAACAUAUAAAAUAAGUUGGUAACAAUAAAAUGUUCAACUUUGUUAAAGAAAAAAUAAUAAAAUAUCCAACAAUAGUUUGAACUCAUAGAAUCAAAGCAUCUCAAAAAUACAAAAAAAUGAAACGAUGAGACUUUAUAAUAUUUUGUCAUGUUUUAAUUUUUAUAUCUAAAUAUUUUAUGUUAAGUAUUCGGGUUUCGGGCUAGCCCAUCGGGAACAAUAGAUAGAGUUGUGGAGAUAGCUUACAGUAAUGAAUUGAAGCAACAAAAGCUCAAAGUUUUAUAAGCUUACGAAACAAAAGGUCUGAACUUGUAACUAACAAUCUUGGAUGAUUCUAAUAAGCUCUCACUGUAACUUCAAAGUUGGGACUUGCUAAGCUCUGCAGUCUUUCGUGUGCUUUUGGAACCAUAGCUCGAACAUGAAGGUCUAGUUGGUCUCCUUGGAAAUCCUCUUGUUCUUCUACUAUACCGCUGAUUCACUGCAAUCUUCCAAAUAAAUUGAUUUCAGCGUUGGUAUCUCACCAACUUCGGAAGGGAUCUCCUCCAAUUCAUCCAAACUUCGAAGACGAAGCUCCUGCAGAACUCGAAAGUGGGAGCUCUGUCCCAUCGUCCAACUUUUUAGACCUUGACAGAAGUUCAAUUGUAGUAGCUUGAGGCUCUGGAAUUGGCCCUCAAUAGUGUCCCACUUGCCUGUUUUGAAGGUACCACGAUGUAAUACUAACUUGUGAAGAAGGGGCAACCACCCUAUCUUUUCCAAUAUCUCUUCCAACUCCGCAUGAUAAUAGAGAAAUAAGUUCAACUUCUUGAGAGAGUGUGGGAAAGUAAGCCUCUGCAAAUACUCAUCAUAUCCAUAAUGGAAGCGGCAUAACAAGUUUUCCAAUUUACUCAGACACUCAAGAUAGCUAAAAGAGUUUGCUCUCUCCGUUUGUUUCACUUUACUCAAACCCUUGUAUUUGUAAAUUAGACGCAAUUUCUUGACAUUGGGAAUUCUUUGAACCACCUCCUCAUUCAAAUACAAAUUCAUUACUCCUUUGAGCGUUUGUAGAUUCUCCAUGAUAACCAUCUCACUCGGAGGAUCUGGUAGAAUCAAUCCUUCUUUCACAAACUCAAGAUGCCUAAGUUGAUGCAAUUUCCAAAUCUCAAUCGGUGCAACAACUUCACGCCAAUAUUCUGAAUCAGACUCAUAAACUAUUAACGUAGAUAGAUUCCAAAGCAAAUUGAUUGAAGACGGGAAUUUGGUCACCGAAUGAACUCUAACAGCAAGGUGCCGUGAGUUCACCAAUUGAAAAACAGCGCCUACGAAAUGAAGACCACCUCUAUAUGAAUCUUUAUCAUAUGCUUUGAAUGUUCUCAACAAUCUAAAAUUGUGAGGCCUUUCAAAGUUUAUCCCAUCGUCAUCACAUAUUAUAGAACGAGCAUGUGACAAAGAUCUCGAGACUUCACUUAUUACCCCUCUUCCACCAUUUUGAAAAACAACCCGACGACGUUCAUUAUCUAUGACUGAAGGAGACUUUUCUAUGAUAUGAUAAAACCUCUCUUUUUCAACUACUUUCAAGCACAUGUCCCUCAACAAAUCAUGAAUCUUACAAAACUUUACAUUUCCACUAACCCCCAACUUAUCAACUAAAAUCAGAUUUCUAUCUACCAACUCCUUCAAGUACUCUUCUCCUAUUGUUUCCAAACAUUUUCCACUCACGGGUUUUAAAAUUCCUUCUGAAACCCAUAGCUUCUUCAGCAUUGAGACACGAAUUGAACGAUCUUCCUUAAAAACACCCAUAUACAAAAAACAUGGCUUCAAAUAGUUGGGUAGAUAGGUAUAGCUCAUUCGCAAUAUUUUCAAGCAAAAUUCAUCAUUAUUCGUAUUCACAAUUGAAUUUAAAUUUUGCUCUAUACGCAUCCAAUAUUCUGUAGUGCGCUCAGAUUUUGCCAAAAGACCUCCAAUUGUAGCAAUUGAUAAAGG